UGGUCUACAUCAGGUUUCUCGUGAUCACACUUGAGUUUUGUUUAGAAGCGCGAAGAUCGAGAUCUUGUUACAGGAUCUGAAGAAGAAUCGAGAAUCGACCAACUGGAAUCGAUCGACUAAGCGACGGUACUAUGUAGAUGGUAGUACAGUAGUUAUCUCAAAUUACUACUUGUAUUUGUGGAGUUCAAUCUCCAACACUCUUUUGAUCACAACUAUUUUGGACUAGUGUUGUGAUCUCAUUUGU